rnacentral:rRNA from 1 species
UGUAGUGGUCAUACCAUUCUGAAUGCGCUGAUCUUGUCUGACAUCAGAAGCUAAGCAGGGUCUGGGAGACUCUCUGGGAAUACAG